rnacentral:rRNA from 1 species
UGGGGAAUUUUGGACAAUGGGCGAAAGCCUGAUCCAGCAAUGCCGCGUGUGUGAAGAAGGCCUUCGGGUUGUAAAGCACUUUUGUCCGGAAAGAAAUCCUUGGCUCUAAUACAGUCGGGGGAUGACGGUACCGGAAGAAUAAGCACCGGCUAACUACGUGCCAGCAGCCGCGGUAAUACGUAGGGUGCAAGCGUUAAUCGGAAUUACUGGGCGUAAAGCGUGCGCAGGCGGUUUGCUAAGACCGAUGUGAAAUCCCCGGGCUCAACCUGGGAACUGCAUUGGUGACUGGCAGGCUAGAGUAUGGCAGAGGGGGGUUAGAAUUCCACGUGUAGCAGUGAAAUGCGUAGAGAUGUGGAGGAAUACCGAUGGCGAAGGCAGCCCCCUGGGCCAAUACUGACGCUCAUGCACGAAAGCGUGGGGAGCAAACAGGAUUAGAUACCCUGGUAGUCCACGCCCUAAACGAUGUCAACUAGUUGUUGGGGAUUCAUUCCUUAGUAACGUAGCUAACGCGUGAAGUUGACCGCCUGGGGAGUACGGUCGCAAGAUUAAAACUUAAUGAAUUGA